AUGUCUGGUGAGUUGGAAACAUGGAGCAACAUCCUGCACAGCCUGCUGGAGGGCUUUGUAAAGAGACGAGGCCACGAUGUCCUGAAGGACCAGCUGCCGUCUAAGGAGGAGCCAGUUGACAGUUUCAGGCCAGGCGAGUUUUCUCCAGUCCCUGUGAUGACCUGCCAGACAUCUGCAAGCUCUGCCCCAGACACUGACCCCUAUGAUUACAACUUCCUUGUAAACUUCGGUCUCAAGUGCCUGCAGAGACUUGCCGUGGGUGUAUAUAAAAUUGUCACCAGGAGAGGUGGGUCGAGUGUCCAAAAAUUAUACUCAAGUAACAACAGUGUUGUCAAACUCAAUUGCACAGGGGGCCAAAACAAAAGGCACACUUUAGGUCGCGGGCCAAACAACACAAACAUUUGUUAAACACACUAAAACAAUGUUUUUUAAAAUAUAAAUAUGAAUAAAAACAGACAGGAAUAUUAUUUCACAAUAAAUAAACUUAGAAAAUUUUUUUUUUAAAUAUUUUGCUCUCCAUAAAAAUAUCUACUGUCUAAAUGAUACAAAUUCAAAUUAUGAACAUGAUGCAAAAAAACAAACAAACUGGAAAUAUAAAUAAAAUUUCUGCUUUUCAGCAAAAUUUGAAAUAACAAUAAAUCAUAACCUUCAGUUUUUUUGCUCCCAUGCAUUUGGUCAGAGCCGGAUGCUUGGCAUCUUUUUUUGGCAAGAAGUUCGUCUAAGUUUAGUGUGAGGUCUUGUGUUGUAGAGAUUCUCAGGAUGGACUGCAGGUGUUCAUCAGCGAGACGACUCCUGUCUGCUGUUUUGUUAAUCUUCAUCACUGAAAACAGCUUCUCACACAGUGUCCAUCUGUGACAUCCCUGGACGUGGUUCCUGCCUGCCUCCCAGACUGCCUGUGGUCGCCUGGUCUCACGCACACUCACCCCUUGUGGUUCAUCACCACUGGAUGACUCCAACCUUAUUUAAGGCCGAGUUGGAGUUGUGUUCCUCGCUGGAGCGUUAAACUCACCAUUUUUAGUGCAGCCAGCUUUGUCUCUUGUGACCUUGUGUUUCUGAAUAUUCCCUGACGUCUGUCCCCUUCUCCCUUGUAGACUCUCCUGGAUCGGAACCUGUCUCCCCUGGACCUUUCCCUGCUGAGCACGAAUGAGAGAGAGAGCGCGGUGUGGAACUGGUGAUUGAAGUAUUCACAGAGGAUAGCAAGUGAGAGUGAGAGGGUUAAGGUUCCCUGCCCUGGACCUUAACCCUGGAAUCCUUGGACCCCUCUUCUCCUGACCCCACUGUACAUAUGUUUAUAGCACUGGUGUUGUGAAUAAAACCCUCUUGGCUUUUGACUGCACCUGUUCUGAGUCCUGCCUUUUGAGUCCCGCACCUGUGAACUUGACACACAGAUAUGUGCUACCAAACAUACACAAAUUUCUAGCCGCAUGUACACGGAGCUGGGGCAUUGAUUCAGGAAUGGAACAAAUAAACUGUGCGGGCCCUUCAGUGUCGUACUUUGCCUUGAGUGUCCCAUUACACUGCAGCUCAGUCAGCUCCAUCUGUAUCUGCACAGGUGCAGUUUCCACAUCAACUGUAAAUGGGUUGCAAAGCAGCUCGAAAUUCUCCUUGUGUGCUUCAAAGUCACAAAAGCUCCGUGCAAACUCAGUGCGCAGUGCACUCAAUUUGGGAACACUGUUGUGCCAACGGUUGUGCCAACUUGGUUCAACAUUACUUGGCAACAGGCAAAGUGAGGCAAGUUGCACCGGUGCAUUUGUGACUCCCAUAAGAGCAGCUUCACUUGAAAUGCCUUCACCGCAUCAUACAUGCCAUGUCCAUGAACUGACAGAUUUCCUUGGUUGAAGUGACGAGCAUUUUUAGGCCUGUUAAUAAAAUUAAAUCAUUUCUGCUCUUUAAUACCUAAAAAAUUCAACUGACAUGGUGUCCAAUGUGUGCCAAAAUUGGACAUUUUUGUACAACGUCUGGAUAUUAAUGUAUUGACAGUGCUGUAAUUUUUAACUGUUUCACUUUAGAAACAAAAAUCUUUGCACAGAUGAUGUUUAUAUGUUGGUAACUGUGUUUCUGGAAUGAAAUGUGAAUUGAAGCAUAUUUUUAAAAGGGUUAUAUGCUAAAAAAUUAAUCAAAAAAAUUAGACGAGGAUAAAAUCUUACUUUUUCUGUGUUCCAGUCUCAGUAACUCUGACACAGUAAUAUCUGCUGCAAUAUUUACACCUCUGAUGAAAUUUCACAAGUUUUAGCUUUAUUUUGAUACCAAGACUGUAUACACAGAGUUUGUAAUCGCAGAGAAAUAAUCAAUUAAUUUGGGGCAUUUCAUUUACGAGCAGGAAGCUCAGAAAUGUCCAAAAUUUCUCUUGUUUCCGCCUUAACAGGGGAGCAGCUGUUUCCAUUCAGAUGGCAAGAAAGAAGGCAUCCAAUAAUGAACACAGAAGCUAACAAAUACAUCCUCCCGUCAUCUCUACACCUCUCUCCGUUCCUCUCCUUUUCCCUCUAAUCCUCUUUGUUGUUGUUGUUGUUGUUGGUUUUUGCUUGUUUGUUUGUCUGCCCUCGCUUCUGUGGCUCGGAUUGGUCCGAACUACUGUUAAACCUGUAGUUAAGAAUUACAGUGAAUAUGCGUUUAUUAUUAUAUUUACAAAAUACCACAGUUUUUGUCUUGGUCGUAUCAUUUUAUUUUGUUGUUUUUAUCCAUGCCACCUUAAAGACUAACAUUAAACCGGUCCGUGGUGCAAAAAAGGUUGGGGUCCACUGCCUUAGGAGGAAAUCAUGGUAAUAAGAGGGAAUAAUCCAUACGGGCACAAAGAAUAGACACUUUUUUUGUGAUUUUUUUUUAGUUCCCUGGCUUUCAUUCAAAAUCUGUUUAUUGUGAGCACCUACAGGUUAAACAACUUAAACAUUAUAAAUGGCUUCAAGCUCACAUUGAGGCCUGUGGCUAUCAGCUAUCAGCCACUGAGACAAUAGACAAAUUUGUAUGUGUUUUUGUAUAUGAAUAUUUCACACUUUAAAGCUGCCUGUUUAUUUAAGGGAGGUGAACAAUACAUUCCAAUUGUACAUAAUAAUAUCACAGAUGAUAGAUUAAAUAAAUAGAUUUUAGGUAGAUGCUUGUGCAUUCUUAAAGUCGUAUAUAUGCUGUGUCAUCUGUUCAAAGCCUCUCAUGGUCAGUGCUGUUCUUCAUGCCUGUCUUACUGUACAUGAUGUUGUUUGUCAUGGUCCUGGGUCAUUUGACCCUGUGUUUUGAGUUUUCCUGUAUUUUUGUCAUUUUGUACUAUGAUUUAUGUAUAACGUUCACUUUGUUAGUCUUUAGUUUAUUCUAUAGAGUCUAGUGUUUCUGUUUUGAGUUUCUUGUAUUCCCGGUUUAGUUCCCUGGUUAUUUAGUAGUUUCCCUCUGUGUAGCUGCCCUCUGUGUCUCCCUCUUGCUUUGUGGGGUUGUUUUUUUUUCAACAGGAGAUGAAUAUCUCUUAUCUAGAUCUCUGAUCUAUCAGACAUGCUGGUCCACAUGUACAAGACUUCUGCAAAAUCAAGGCAAUGGUAUUUUCCGAUGUUUGGCUACAUCCUUGACCUUUGCAUCUCAAAUGCCUUGCUUGUUCACAAGAGGGACUGUGCCCUACUAAAUGAGAAACCGCUCUCUCUCAAAAGGUUUCAUCUUGCAGUUGCCCACAGUUUGAUGCAGGUCAACGAACUACCAUCAACGUUUGGCUGACCAUCAUCUUCUUCUCCACCUCAAAUGUUGCCUCAGCAGAAACGUUACACCCCAAGACCUUCACAUCCACAACCAGAUGUGCGUUAUGACAACUUGGGACACCUGCCACUUCACUCUGACAACCGAGGCAGGUGUAACCUCUGUCCAAAGGAAGUGUCAAGGUGGAAAUGUCAGAAGUGCAAAGUGUUUCUGUGCCUGAAUGCCCACCAGCAGUGCUCUGUUGCAUAUCACCAGAAAUAAAGGAAAUCUAACGCCUCUACAUUGCAGUUGCUGUUGGUUCUGUAGCACUACAACUCUCUUGUAUCUGUUCAGUCUACUCUGCUGCUAAGUUACAGAAGUUUAAUACUGUUUUGUUAAGCUUUUAAAAAUAUUUUUUGUAUUCAGUUUUACCAUGAAUGAAAAUCUCAAUCGUUUGGUAGAGGCCUAAGUUUAAAAAACUAUGGAGUUGUUUGAAAAAAAAAAUCCUCUUUGUUACUGUUGUUCUAAAUGAAUAAAAAAUUCAAAGAAAUAAUUUUUAAUUGCAGUUUUCUUGGUGUGAACCUCAAAGGGUUAAAGUAAAAGUACUAUAAAGGUAGGAUAAAAAAAUGUGAAAUAUUGA
ensembl:lncRNA